AGGUCUUGACAUCCCUUUGACCUCCCUAGAGAUAGGGAUUUCCCUUCGGGGACAAAGGUGACAGGUGGUGCAUGGCUGUCGUCAGCUCGUGUCGUGAGAUGUUGGGUUAAGUCCCGUAACGAGCGCAACCCUUAAUAUUAGUUGCCAGCAUUAAGUUGGGCACUCUAAUGUGACUGCCGGUGACAAACCGGAGGAAGGUGGGGAUGACGUCAAGUCAUCAUGCCCCUUAUGACCUGGGCUACACACGUGCUACAAUGGAUGGAACAACGGGCUGCGAAGCGGCGACGUGAAGCAAAUCCCAUAAAACCAUUCUCAGUUCGGAUUGUAGGCUGCAAUUCGCCUACAUGAAGCAGGAAUCGCUAGUAAUCGCGGAUCAGAAUGCCGCGGUGAAUACGUUCCCGGGCC
rnacentral:rRNA from 1 species